rnacentral:rRNA from 1 species
UAGGGAAUCUUCGGCAAUGGGGGGAACCCUGACCGAGCAACGCCGCGUGAGUGAAGAAGGUUUUCGGAUCGUAAAGCUCUGUUGUUAAGGAAGAACGAGUGUGAGAAUGGAAAGUUCAUACUGUGACGGUACUUAACCAGAAAGGGACGGCUAACUACGUGCCAGCAGCCGCGGUAAUACGUAGGUCCCGAGCGUGGUCCGGAUUUAUUGGGCGUAAAGCGAGCGCAGGCGGUCAAUUAAGUCUGAUGUGAAAGCCCCCGGCUCAACCGGGAAGGGUCAUUGGAAACUGGUUGACUUGAGUGCAGAAGAGGAGAGUGGAAUUCCAUGUGUAGCGGUGAAAUGCGUAGAUAUAUGGAGGAACACCAGUGGCGAAGGCGACUCUCUGGUCUGUAACUGACGCUGAGGCUCGAAAGCGUGGGUAGCAAACAGG